AUACGGAGGGUGCAAGCGUUAUUCGGAAUCACUGGGCGUAAAGGACGCGUAUGCGGGUUGGCAAGUCAGAUGUGAAAUCCUACAGCUUAACUGUAGAACUGCAUUUGAAACUGCUAACCUAGAGUAUGGGAGGGGGAGAUGGAAUUAGUGGUGUAGGGGUAAAAUCCGUAGAUAUCACUAGGAAUACCGAAAGCGAAGGCGAUCUCCUGGAACAUAACUGACGCUAAGGCGUGAAAGCGUGGGGAGCAAACAGGAUUAGAUACCCGAGUAGUCC
rnacentral:rRNA from 1 species